rnacentral:rRNA from 1 species
UACGGGGGGAGCAAGCGUUGUUCGGAUUUACUGGGCGUAAAGGGCGCGUAGGCGGCGCAACAAGUCACUUGUGAAAUCUCCGGGCUUAACCCGGAGCGGCCAAGUGAUACUGUCGUGCUAGAGUGCGGAAGGGGCUACUGGAAUUCUCGGUGUAGCGGUGAAAUGCGUAGAUAUCGAGAGGAACACCUGAGGCGAAGGCGGGUUGCUAGGCUGACACUGACGCUGAGGCGCGAAAGCCAGGGGAGCAAACGGG